rnacentral:rRNA from 1 species
UACGUAGGGUGCGAGCGUUAAUCGGAAUUACUGGGCGUAAAGCGUGCGCAGGCGGUUUUUUAAGCCAGAUGUGAAAUCCCCGGGCUUAACCUGGGAAUGGCAUUUGGGACUGCAAGGCUUGAGUGUGGCAGAGGAGACUGGAAUUCCUGGUGUAGCAGUGAAAUGCGUAGAUAUCAGGAGGAACACCGAUGGCGAAGGCAGGUCUCUGGGCUAACACUGACGCUCAUGCACGAAAGCGUGGGGAGCAAACAGG